UGGGGAAUAUUGGACAAUGGGCGAAAGCCUGAUCCAGCCAUGCCGCGUGUGUGAAGAAGGUCUUCGGAUUGUAAAGCACUUUAAGUUGGGAGGAAGGGCAUUAACCUAAUACGUUAGUGUUUUGACGUUACCGACAGAAUAAGCACCGGCUAACUCUGUGCCAGCAGCCGCGGUAAUACAGAGGGUGCAAGCGUUAAUCGGAAUUACUGGGCGUAAAGCGCGCGUAGGUGGUUUGUUAAGUUGGAUGUGAAAGCCCCGGGCUCAACCUGGGAACUGCAUCCAAAACUGGUAAGCUAGAGUACGGUAGAGGGUGGUGGAAUUUCCUGUGUAGCGGUGAAAUGCGUAGAUAUAGGAAGGAACACCAGUGGCGAAGGCGACCACCUGGACUGAUACUGACACUGAGGUGCGAAAGCGUGGGGAGCAAACA
rnacentral:rRNA from 1 species